rnacentral:rRNA from 1 species
ACGGGAGGCAGCAGUGGGGAAUAUUGCACAAUGGGCGCAAGCCUGAUGCAGCGAUGCCGCGUGAGGGAAGAAGGUUUUCGGACUGUAAACCUCUGUCCUCAGGGACGAUAAUGACGGUACCUGUGAAGGAAGCUCCGGCUAACUACGUGCCAGCAGCCGCGGUAAUACGUAGGGAGCAAGCGUUAUCCGGAAUUACUGGGUGUAAAGGGAGUGUAGGCGGGACUGUAAGUCAGAUGUGAAAUAUGCCGGCUCAACUGGCAGACUGCAUUUGAAACUGCGGUUCUUGAGUGAAGUAGAGGUAAGCGGAAUUCCUAGUGUAGCGGUGAAAUGCGUAGAUAUUAGGAGGAACAUCAGUGGCGAAGGCGGCUUACUGGGCUUUAACUGACGCUGAGGCUCGAAAGCGUGGGGAGCAAACAGGAUUAGAUACCCUGGUA